rnacentral:tRNA from 1 species
GGGGUUGUGGCGCAAUUGGUUAGCGCACCGGACUGUCGAUCCGGUGGUCGCGGGUUCGAAUCCCGUCGACCCCGCCA